GAUGAACGCUGGCGGCGUGCCUAACACAUGCAAGUCGAGCGAUUCUCUUCGGAGAAGAGCGGCGGACGGGUGAGUAACGCGUGGGUAACCUGCCCUGUACACACGGAUAACAUACCGAAAGGUAUGCUAAUACGAGAUAACAUACUUUUAUCGCAUGGUAGAAGUAUCAAAGCUCUGGCGGUACAGGAUGGACCCGCGUCUGAUUAGCUAGUUGGUGAGGUAACGGCUCACCAAGGCGACGAUCAGUAGCCGACCUGAGAGGGUGAUCGGCCACAUUGGAACUGAGACACGGUCCAAACUCCUACGGGAGGCAGCAGUGGGGAAUAUUGCACAAUGGGCGAAAGCCUGAUGCAGCAACGCCGCGUGAGCGAUGAAGGCCUUCGGGUCGUAAAGCUCUGUUAUCAGGGAAGAAGAAAAUGACGGUACCUGAUGAGCAAGUCCCGGCUAACUACGUGCCAGCCGCCGCGGUAAAAC
rnacentral:rRNA from 1 species